rnacentral:tRNA from 1 species
AUUUUGAUAUCCUUUUUUUAGGGGGCUAUGCUUCGGCCGUAGUUUGGGGUGUGGGGUUGCUCUAUCAAAGGU